GAGCGAACAGGUCGACUUCCGAGUUUGGCGGGGCCUUUGUCUCUCACUGCACCUGGAGCUCCAGGUCUCAUCUUCAUUACUCUGUGUCCUCUGCUGCUAGAGGCCCAGCCCUGUGACCUGACGGUUUUGGGAGAUCCACAGCUAAGACGCCAGGACCUCCUGGAAGCCUAGAAAUGAGUUUUCGCUCUGUUGCCAGACUGGAGGGAGGUCCUACAGUUGUGCAGCCACGCGAUUUGGGCUCACUGCAACCUCCAUCUCCCGGGUUCAAGCAAUUAUCCUGCCUCAGCCUCCUGAGUAGCUGGAACUACAGUCACGUGCCACCAUGCCCAGCUAGAGAGGUUUCACCAUGUUGGCCAGGAUGGCCUCGAUCUCUUGACCUCGUGAUCCGCCCGCCUCCGCGUUCCAAAGUGCUGGGAUUACAGACAGUCUCCCUCUGUUGCACAGGCUGGAAUGCAGUGGCUUGAUCUCAGCUCACUGCAACCUCUACCUCCUGGGUUCAAGUGAUUCUCCUGCCUCAGCCUCCCGUGCAGCUGGGAUUACAAGCAUGCAACACCAAGCCUGGGUAGGUUUUUGUAUUUUUAGUAGAGAUGGGGUCUCACCAUGUUGGCCAGCUUGAUCUUGACCUCAGGUGAUCCACCUGCCUCACUCUUCCAAAGUACUGGGAUUACAGGCAUGAGCCAUAAACACUGUAUUCUACAAUCCUAUGAAUAUUAAGCCACAAUACUUACUUUGAAUUAAUCGCUUAAAUGGUUAUUUUAUUUAUACUUUUGAAAUAUAAAGUGUUUUAACUGAAGUAUAGUUGCAAUUUUUUUUCUUUUUUUUUUUUUUUUUUUUUUUUGAGACGGAGUCUUGCUUUUUCAGCCAGGCUGGAGUGCAGUGGCUUGAUCUUGGCUCACUGCAACCUCUGCCUCCUGGCUUCAAGCGAUUCUUCUGCUUCAGCCUCCCGGGUAGCUGGGAUGAGAGGCGCGCUGCACCAUGCCAAGGUAAUUUUUUUUGUAUUUUUAGUAGAGACGGGGUUUCACCAUAUUUGCCAGGCUGGUGUUGAACUCCUGACCUGGUGAUCCACAUGCUUCGGCCUAACAGAGUGCUGGGACUACAGGUGUGAGACACUGCACCUAACUGUAGUGGCAAUUUUUUUUUUUGAAACAGAGUUUCGCUCUUGUUGCCCAGGCUGGAGUGCAAUGGUGCGAUCUCGGCUCACUGCAACCUCCGCCUCCCAGGUUCAAGGGAUUCUCCUGCCUUAACCUCCUGAGUAGCUGGGAUUGCAGGCAUGUGCCACACCUGGCCUAGCUAAUUUUGUAUUUUUAGUAGAGACAGGGUUUCUCCAUGUCGGUCAUGCUGGUCUCAAACUCACGACCUCCGGUGAUCCGCCUGCCUCAGACUCCCAAAGUGCUGGGAUUACGGGCAUGAGCCACCAUGCCUGGCUAUGUAGUUGCAAUUUUUAAAAAUACUGAAUACAUUAUGACCGGUUCAUUAAAAUUAUUCAUACUUAGAUCUUUAUAUCUAAUAUCCAAAGAAAAUUUACUACCAAAUUUUUACAGUAGAUAUUAGUGACAUGUUUAUUGCUUUAUUCAAUAGGGAAAAUUGUGAGUAAACACAAUUUGUGUAUCUUUUAUUUUACUAAAUUGGAAUGCUGUUAUUACAGGAGACAGGUGAUGUGGCCACCCAAAAACCAUAAUAGCUCUGCAGUUAACGAUGUUGCCAGUUCUAAUAUGUUCCACUAUAUGAACACAGUCAGUUUCUAUUUCUUCAUCAAAAAGUGUUGUUGAAAGUUGUCAGAUGUAUUUCAAUAUAGAACCCCAAUUUAAUGGCUAGGAGAUGACAGAUCAGCAAAGAUGGGAAAAAGGCUAUAAAAUUCUUCUGAAAAACUGCACUUUUUUUUCAUAAGGCUCAUGUUUCUCAUGCUGAGAGUAGCUGUGCACUUUGAGUGUUUAGAGAGAAAUUGCUUUUAGGGGAAUAUUUUCUGGCUGAUCAAUCUUAUAUCUAAUAUGAGCUUUUUCUUAAGAUCUUUUGAACUUUUUUCUCUCAAAAUAAUCUGGCUCAGAUGGAGAUCUGUUUUUCUCUCCAAUGCUUUGGGUGUCUGUUUCAAAAGCCCUAUUCAUAUCCGAUGGUGUCUACAUGAGGUGGACUUUCAUAGCGAGAACUUUUAGAGCUAUUUCUAUCUGGACUUAUGCUGGAAAUUCAGCAGUAUUUUUUCCAUGUCCCUACUAUACGUAGAAACUGAGGCUGAAAACUAAUCACAUUCUCAUGAUUGUGAAGGUGUAAUUCUACCCAGGAGGCCUGCAGGCUCUCCUCCUGCAGCUCAGGCCUCACUCUCUGAUGUGACACUAGAGUGCUGCUGUGGCAAAUGGGGUUCAUAUAAAAUGUGAGCUGUGCUCUGGGCUGUGCCUCAGUGGCAGAUGUUAUAGGUCAAGAGAGGACACUAGGCUGGGCGCGGUGGCUCACGCCUGUAAUCCCAGCACUUUGGGAGGCCAAGACGGGCAGAUCACGAGGUCAGGAGAUCGAGACCAUCCUGGCUAAUAUGGUGAAACCCCGUCUCUACUAAAAAUACAAAAAAUUAGCCAGGCCAGGCAUGGUGGCAGGCACCUGUAGUCCCAGCUACUCAGGAGGCUGAGGCAGGAGAAUGGCAUGAACCCAGGAGGCGGAGCUUGCAGUGAGCUGAGAUUGCGCCACUGCACUCCAGCCUGGGCGACAGAGCGAGACUCCGUCUCAAAAAAAAAAAAAAAAAAAAGAGGCCACUAGUAACCAGGAGAAAGCAAGCAGGAGUGCUGUAACCCAAUGCCAGGGAGUACAGAGCCACUGCUCUAAAAUGUAAAUAGCCAAAAAGAUAGAACCCUAUUCAACCAUUUUUGUAGCACAAUGAAAGCCUACCUUCAGAAGGCACCUGGAUUAAAGCUACUAAACUACUUCCUGUUAUGAAGAUGUGAAAAGUUUGUCAUUGAAUAUAAGCAAUUAGCAUACACAGAUGGCCUCUUCAAUCUGUUCAUAGGAUGAACUAUGUAUGAUAUGGUGCUGGAAAUUCUUCUAUUUGUGAACUAAUUAUGGUGACCAUCUUUCUGUCUUUGCGAUCCCUUAAGCAGACUGAUGAUGAUGCAUGUCACAAUUAAAUUCAAUUGUGUAAUAAAACCAUUUUCUUUCUGUGCUAUUUUUGUGGAGUUUCUCUGGGGCUGGAGAAAAUUUUUCUUUUAAUAGUUUCCAAACACUGUCUAGAAUUACCAGACAUGAUAAAAACACAUAAGGUGCCAACCAGAAUUUACUCUAGAGGGGACUUUUCCUCUCAGGCUUCCAGUCAACUCACAUUUGCGCUUCAAAAUGCAUGCUGUCCCCUAAAUAUGGAGGCAGAAUUGUGUCUCUUCCUAUUUGGUAUCUAUAGUCCUCUAGAGUCACUUCUAGAGAGGCUAGACCACAUUUCUACAAACUUCACAGGGCAACAAUCAAUCAUUUUACCUCUAUCAAUGACUCUUGUAUCUUCAGGCCUGAAACUGAUACAAAAACUGUUUAGCCCAGAAACCCAAUCACAGUAACAUGUGCAUUAGUAGACACAGAGACAUGAGAAUCUCCACGUUCCCCUGUCUCCUCUUGCUAAAGUGCUCACAAAUGUUCAGGUAACAUCUGCUGCUCCUCCAGUCCUUCAGCCCCUAAAUCUGCAGCUCCAAAUUUUGAAUUUAGGUCUUGAGAUUUGGGAAAUAAAAAACUUUUAUCUAAAAAAUGCAAGUCCUUUGGUUAUCAAACUCAGAGACAUGAAAAUGAAAGUGCAGUUAUUUCUCCCUCCUUUGAACUAUGUAUUCAUCUCUUGAAACUGUUCACGAUUGCCAAAAGUAGCUAUAAAUUAAACUAAUAAUGACACGUUGGACACUAUAUCCCAUAUCCUAAACCAUAACUAUAUAUAUCUAAUCAAUAAUAAAUGCUAUUUCUCUAAAUACAUAAAAAUUUCUGACAAACAACUUUGUGUCUACCUACUCUGUUCUUCUCUUGUUGUCUUUACAAAUCCUCUUGUAACUGAUGCCAAUCAAAGUGUAGAUUCCAGACAACUUGAAUCUUUGCUCCCAGAUUAUAAUCCUUAAG